AUGCAAACUUCUCUUUGCCAUCACCUCAUUUGGAAAUAGCCACCAUAUGACCACCGAUGCAGUGUUAUCCGUUUGGUGUUCCAGCCUCCAGAUGUCUUUUGGGGGAUAGGUUUGCAUCUGUUAGAGAUGAAGGAACUAAGUGGCAUCAUGACUUUUCCUCAUGGAAAUUACUUGGGGGCAAACAAAUUGUUCUGCCUUUCUUCUGAUGCAUUUUAAACUAAGUCAUCCUUUUGUUUCACCAACAGCAAAAACAAGCAUUUUUCAAAAACUGAAGUCAAUCAAAGGAGUAGUAGCAAUAAAGAGGAAGAUUGUUAUCAUGGGGUGAAGAUGAGGCAAUGCCAAGUAUAGUGCCGCGUACAGAGCCUGGAGCAAGGUGAACAAACGCAGGCUCCGGGAUGCCAAGUGACUUCAUAUCAACAUCACCCAGCAGAUUAAGGGAACUGGGCCCAGACUCCUAGGCUCCUGACUACCCAGUCCUGUGCCCAUUCUAGUGGCCACUAUACUCACCCACUGGUUGUAGCCAUAUCUGGCUUAGGCUGGCAACACUUUUGAAGCAAGGAUGAUGCUUUCUUUCUUUUGCCCAAGACCAUUCUUCAUAUAAUAAGACAAUUAACAGAUUGUGGGUUUGAUUUAUAUGUAUGGUGAACUAACACUGGAAUGUAUCUGAAAGAUUGAGGCAGGAGAGGUAGUCAAGGAAGUAACCACGUCUUUCAGACGUGGCAACCGUGAUGACCACCAACACAAUAAGCCCUGGUGUUGACACUGUAGUCAAGCUCAUUCAAGCAAAGCUAUUUUCAGUAGGGAAUUUCCUCUGUAGAGAGCAUGCACAUUUUGAUUUUACCUGUCCUCAAACUGACCCUUUGCUCAUUAUAAUACUAAUAUAAAAAAUACUAAUAUUAAAAAAACCCCUGGGUGGAGAUUUAAGACGUUAAUGAGACAUGCGACCUAUGAAUAAGCAUGUACAGCUACUGCACAUGUGCAUCCAGAGGACCACCCACAAUAUGCUUACUAGUAACAUCUCCUUCCACACCCUUAUGAAUAAUCAUGUAAGAUUCCCAUAAGGGUAGUCUCCCUAGGGCCAGUCCAUGCUUUCUCUUCUUUAUGAGCAGCCUGCCAUGAAUCCUCUCUCAGGGUGCACUGUCUAUUCUGCACCCAGCUUUUAGAAUAUUCUUUCUCUUUUGCAAUAAAUUGCUCUAUGCUGCAGCUCCUUUGCUGUGUGUCUCUUCUUUAAGUUCUUUUAAACUAAUAAGACAAGAACUGAGGUCUCACAACAGCCAUCAACAAGAUUGUUGAAAUUCUGGAAGAGUGAUUUUCCCCAUGGGUAAUACAUUAUUCUUUUUAUUAUUUCAA
rnacentral:lncRNA from 1 species